ACACUUUCUUCUGACAUAACAGUGUUCACUAGCAACCUCAAACAGACACCAUGGUGCAUCUGACUCCUGAGGAGAAGACUGCUGUCAAUGCCCUGUGGGGCAAAGUGAACGUGGAUGCAGUUGGUGGUGAGGCCCUGGGCAGCUCUUGGGCAAUGUGCUGGUGUGUGUGCUGGCCCGCAACUUUGGCAAGGAAUUCACCCCACAAAUGCAGGCUGCCUAUCAGAAGGUGGUGGCUGGUGUGGCUAAUGCCCUGGCUCACAAGUACCAUUGAGAUCCUGGACUGUUUCCUGAUAACCAUAAGAAGA
rnacentral:lncRNA from 1 species